GGAUGUGAGGGCGAUCUGGCUGCGACAUCUGUCACCCCAUUGAUCGCCAGGGUUGAUUCGGCUGAUCUGGCUGGCUAGGCGGGUGUCCCCUUCCUCCCUCACCGCUCCAGGUGCGUCCCUCCCGAAGCUGCGUGCUCGGUGGAAGAGGACGACCAUCCCAGAUAGAAGGAGUGUACCGUUCUUCGGUCAAGGGUAUACGAUAGCUGCGCUCCCCUGCUAGAACCUCCAAACAAAAUGCAGCAGUCUGAUUGGUCCUAGAACAAUAGGAUUCAGAAUGUAGCAGUCUGAUUGGUC